GAUGAACGCUGGCGGCGUGCCUAAUACAUGCAAGUCGAGCGAACAGACGAGGAGCUUGCUCCUCUGACGUUAGCGGCGGACGGGUGAGUAACACGUGGAUAACCUACCUAUAAGACUGGGAUAACUUCGGGAAACCGUAGCUAAUACCGGAUAAUAUAUUGAACCGCAUGGUUCAAUAGUGAAAGACGGUUUUGCUGUCACUUAUAGAUGGAUCCGCGCCGCAUUAGCUAGUUGGUAAGGUAACGGCUUACCAAGGCAACGAUGCGUAGCCGACCUGAGAGGGUGAACGGCCACACUGGAACUGAGACACAGUCCAGACUCCGACAGGAGGCAGCGGUAGGGAAUCUACCGCAAUGGGCGAAAGCCUGACGAAGCAACGCCGCGUGAGUGAUGAAGGUCUUCGGAUCGUAAAACUCUGUUAUUAGGGAAGAACAAAUGUGUAAGUAACUAUGCACGUCUUGACGGUACCUAAUCAGAAAGCCACGGCUAACUACGUG
rnacentral:rRNA from 1 species